rnacentral:rRNA from 1 species
UAGCAGAGGGUGCGAGCGUUAAUCGGAAUUACUGGGCGUAAAGCGUGCGUAGACGGUUAUCUAAGUCGGGUGUGAAAGCCCCCGGGCUCAACCUGGGAAUUGCAUUCGAGACUGAAUAGCUAGGGUACGGUAGAGGGAAGUGGAAUUUCCGGUGUAGCGGUGAAAUGCGUAGAUAUCGGAAGGAACAUCAGUGGCGAAAGCGACUUCCUGGACCAGUACCGACGUUCAGGCACGAAAGCGUGGGGAGCAAACAGG